rnacentral:rRNA from 1 species
UACGUAGGUGGCAAGCGUUGUCCGGAAUUAUUGGGCGUAAAGCGCGCGCAGGCGGUCCUUUAAGUCUGAUGUGAAAUCCCCAGGCUCAACCUGGGAACUGCGUCUGAUACUGGAUGGCUUGAAUCCGGGAGAGGGAUGCAGAAUUCCAGGUGUAGCGGUGAAAUGCGUAGAGAUCGGGAAGAACAUCGGUGGCGAAGGCGCUCUACUGGACCACAACUGACACUCAGGGACGAAAGCUAGGGGAGCGAAUGGG